UGGGUAGUCCGUACGAGCGCACCUUAUCCUUAGUUGCCAGCGAGUAUGUCGGGAACUCUAGGGAGACUGCCGGUGAUAAACCGGAGGAAGGUGGGGAUGACGUCAAGUCAUCAUGGCCCUUAUGGGCAGGGCUACACACGUGCUACAAUGGCCGGUACAGAGGGCGGCGAAGCCGCGAGGUGGAGCGAAUCUCAGAAAACCGGUCGUAGUCCGGAUUGCAGUCUGCAACUCGACUGCAUGAAGCCGGAAUCGCUAGUAAUCGCGGAUCAGAACGCCGCGGUGAAUACGUUCCCGGGCCUUGUACACACCGCCCGUCACACCAUGGGAGUGGGCUGUACCAGAAGUAGGUAGUCUAACCUUCGGGAGGACGCUUACCACGGUGUGGUUCAUGACUGGGGUGAAGUCGUAACAAGGUAGCCCUAGGGGAACCUGGGGCUGGAUCACCUCCUUU
rnacentral:rRNA from 1 species